AGUAUAAGCAAUUAUACCGCGAAACUGCGAAUGGCUCAUUAUAUAAGUUAUCGUUUAUUUGAUAGCACAUCACUACAUGGAUAACUGUGGUAAUUCUAGAGCUAAUACAUGCUAAAAAUCCCGACUUCGGAAGGGAUGUAUUUAUUAGAUUAAAAGCCAACGCCCUUCGGGGCUUCCUGGUGAUUCAUAAUAACUUUUCGAAUCGCAUGGCCUUGCGCCGGCGAUGGUUCAUUCAAAUUUCUUCCCUAUCAACUUUCGAUGCGAAGGUCUUGUCUUCGCAUGGUUGCAACGGGUAACGGAGGGUUAGGGCUCGACCCCGGAGAAGGAGCCUGAGAAACGGCUACUACAUCCAAGGAAGGCAGCAGGCGCGCAAAUUACCCAAUCCCGACACGGGGAGGUAGUGACAAUAAAUACUGAUACAGGGCUCUUUUGGGUCUUGUAAUCGGAAUGAGUACAAUUUAAAUCUCUUAACGAGGAACAAUUGGAGGGCAAGUCUGGUGCCAGCAGCCGCGGUAAUUCCAGCUCCAAUAGCGUAUAUUAAAGUUGUUGUGGUUAAAAAGCUCGUAGUUGAACCUUGGGCCUGGCUGGCCGGUCCCCCUCACCGGGUGCACUGAUCCAGCCGGGCCUUUCCCUCUGUGGAACCCCAUGGCCUUCACUGGCUGUGGCGGGGAAACAGGACUUUUACUUUGAAAAAAUUAGAGUGCUCCAGGCAGGCCUAUGCUCGAAUACAUUAGCAUGGAAUAAUAGAAUAGGACGUGUGGUUCUAUUUUGUUGGUUUCUAGGACCGCCGUAAUGAUUAAUAGGGACAGUCGGGGGCAUCAGUAUUCAAUUGUCAGAGGUGAAAUUCUUGGAUCUAUUGAAGACUAACUACUGCGAAAGCAUUUGCCAAGGAUGUUUUCAUUGAUAAGGAACGAAAGUUAGGGGAUCGAAGACGAUCAGAUACCGUCGUAGUCUUAACUAUAAACUAUGCCGACUAGGGAUCGGACGAUGUUAUUCUUUGACGCGUUCGGCACCU
rnacentral:rRNA from 1 species